AUUGAACGCUGGCGGCAGGCCUAACACAUGCAAGUCGAGCGAGCGGCGGACGGGUGAGUAAUGUCUGGGAAACUGCCUGAUGGAGGGGGAUAACUACUGGAAACGGUAGCUAAUACCGCAUACCAUCAGAUGUGCCCAGGUGGGAUUAGCUAGUAGGUGGGGUAACGGCUCACCUAGGCGACGAUCCCUAGCUGGUCUGAGAGGAUGACCAGCCCCACUGGAGCGGAGACACGGUCCAGACGCCUACGGGAGGCAGCAGUGAGGAAGAUUGCACAAUGGGCGCAAGCCUGAUGCAGCCAUGCCGGGUGUGUGAAGGAGGCCUGCGGGUUGUAAAGCACUUUCAGCGGGGAGGCGUUACCCGCAGAAGAAGCACCGGCGAACUCCGUGCCAGCAGCCGCGGUAAUU
rnacentral:rRNA from 1 species